rnacentral:lncRNA from 1 species
CACCAUUCAUUCUCCUACGCCAAUUUUUAGCCAAAUGAAAGAAUAGAGGGAGAGAGAAAAAAAAAGAGAAAGAAGAAGAAGGAGAAUGAGAAAUUAAAAAGGUAUUUUUUUUCUUUCUUUGAUCUAUUAUUAGAUUAUGGAUUUUAUGAGUACAUAUUUAUGUAUGUGCUUAUUGAGAUGAUUUUAACUUGCAUAAACAUGAAUCAAAUGAGAGAAAUCUAGAAAUCAAAUGAAGAACAAAAUCUGGAAAUUUUCAUAAAAAUUAGUUUACUACUUGAUUUUGUAAAAUCCAUAACUCUUUCUGUAUAAUGAGUUAGGAGACGAGCCAUAUAUCAAAAGAAAGUCCUGGAAGUAAGAUAACCGUACAAACUGGAAUCACCCAAAAAUUCUUUGUAGAUUUUUCGUGGUGACAGUUUGAGUGAAACUUGUCCAGAGGACUCGUAGUCCGAAAAAUAAGUGUUCUUAAGCCUUAUUGCGUGAGUUAUAAUUUUUAAUCCGACCGUUGGAUCGUUGUAAUUUUCAGAUAUGUUAUACAUAUAUAAGUUGAGUAUAUGUCCACAAAUUUUGAACCGUUAAAGAUUAACGUAAGAUUUGUUAUGAAUUUAAGGAGGUGACUGAUCCAGAAAUUUUGAUACGCCUUUCUCUCUAUGUUUGAGUCAGAAUUUGGCAAAAAUUUCUUCUACAAAGUUGUAGAGAAUUAAAUUUUACAUGGAAAGAACAUAAGACCUGUAUUUUUCUGAUAAAAAGCUAAUUAUUAUGAAUUAAUGAAAUUUUUGAAUAUUGGAGUUUAUGAUUAAUUUAUCAGAAAAAUUAUUUGGGUUGAAAUAUUUUUACAGAAUGCUUAGAAUACCAUCUUAGAAUUUUUGUAAAAUUUUGAUGAAUUAUUGAAAAGAAAAAGUAAUUAUUGUAUUUUUAAACUAUUUAUAGUUAGUUUGAAAAUAGAAGAAAUUCAUAGAAAAUUCUAUGAAUGAUGAAAAAUUAUGAAACUUGGUGAAAAAUGGUAUAAUAUUGUUUUAUAAUUUUUGGACAGUUUUGGAAAUUUUUUGAAUAACAGAAAUAUUUAUUAUAUUUUUAAGCUAUUUAUGGUUAGUUUAAAAAUAGAGAAAAUUCAUAGGAAAUUCUAUGAAUGGUGAAAAAUUAUGAAUUUUGCUGAAAAAAUAUUAUACUAAUAGAUUAAUAUUGAUGAUGUUUUAAUGAUAUAAAAGUAUGUGAAGUUAGUAUUUCUAUUUUGAAGCUAUUAAAUGAUAGUUUUUAUAAAUAGAAAUAAUUAUAGAAAAUUGUUGGAUAAUCUGAAAAAUAUGAAAAUUAUUUGGAAAGUUCAGAAUCAUAUUUUUAAAUAUUUUAGAAGUAUUAGUAAGCUCAUGAGGUGUGGGAAUGUAAAUGCACUAGUAACGAAUGAUUUACGAUAAAAACAAAAAUAAUAUUUUUGUUAAAGUAAAAAUUCUGAUAAUAUCAGAAUAAUGGAUUGUCAUAUAUGAGGUUUUAUAUUUCUCAAGUUUUAUUAUUCACUUUUAAAGUUUUGGAAUAUGAAUAAUGACUUUAUGUGAUAAAUAAAGACAACUUGAUUGAAUAAUGAAUUGUUAGUUGGUUUAUAUGUUAUUCGAGGUAAAUAUGAAUUGGUGUUGAUCCCUACUUUUAAUAGAAUUUAAAUUGUUUAUAGUAAGGUAUUGAUUUGAUUCUUACGUAAGAAGUCACUAUGUAUUUCAUUAAAUAAUUGUCACAGUAGUUAUUGCACAGUGAUUCAUAUUAUUGAUUCUUACUCAGUCUUUCAAUCAAUAAUUGUCACAGUAGUUAUUGCACAGUGACUCAUAUUAUUUGAUAUGAUAUAAUUAAACCAGUUGGCAGUAUUGUGAGUCUAUGUUAAUAAUUAUGAAUAAUUGUUAAAAGAUUGAAGAUGUGUAAAUAAUUGAUGAAUAAAAGGUGUUGAUUAAAGAUAAGUAUGAUAUACAGAUGUUUGUUCAAUUAUUUUCUUUUUACAAAAGUAAGUUUGGCAGGACUUGCCGACACUCUACUUUUCCUAAAGUAGUAUGGACCACAACUCUAUUAUUGAACAAAUAUUGUUAAAACGUGUACAAGUUGGUUUAAUUUUCUCCGUGGGACCAUAAAUUCCACUACCAUUAUUAUAUACCUCAUUUGAUUAUUUUGUCAAAACAACUGGUUGUUUACUAAAUUUUUAGUAUAAAUAGGUUGUCCGGUUGAGCAACUAAACAGACACCAUCACUACACAAAAAAUAUAGAAUUCUUUUACUACAAUAUUGUGAGUAUUUCUAUUGAGUGUAAUGUUACUCCAAGUGUAGCUAAGGAAUGCAAGCAUUGUUUAAGUUGAUCAAUUUCACAGAAAGCAGAAUCAAGUCACAUGCUAAGGUAAGGGAUAUCAUUAUUGUGGUAAGGGGGUAUCAUUUUUAUGGUAAAAAGAAUAUCAUUUUCUUUCAUACUCCAUAUUAUGGUAAGAUAUUAUUAUUCGUUUAUUCAAUUUAUCAUUAAAUGGUGAAAAGUCCUGAAAGGAUUAGAAUAUCCUUAAUAGUUUGUGCUUCAUCUAUUAUUAUGUUAUCAAUUUGGACUCUGGAUAAUUAAGUUGAAAAUCACUAAGAUCUAUGUUAUCUUAUUAUUCUGAUGAUUUAUGUUUAUUCAUUAUAUAUAUCAUUGUCAUUAUUCUCAUGCAUAUAUUGUGUUGAAAGUCAUCUAUGGCCAGUAGUGCAUAGAUGGACUUGUUAUGAUUAUGACGAGGGAUUAUUCGGUAUAAUCAUGACCGUAAUGUUACAAAUGAUGUGGUAAAAGUCAUCUUUGGCCCGUAGUGCAAAGAUGGAUUGUUGAUUAUUAGUUUUACAAUUGUAUAUCUUUGGCAUGUAGUGCAAAGAUGGACUGUUGAUUAUUGGUUUUACAGUUGUAUAUCUUUGGCCUGUAGUGUAAAGAUAGACUGUUGAUUAUUAGUUUUACAGUUGUAUAUCUUUGGUCUGUAGUGCAAAAAUGGACUGUUGAUUAUUGGUUUUACAGUUGUAUAUCUUUGGCCUGUAGUGUAAAAAUAGACUGUUGGUUAUUGGUUUUACAGUUGUAUAUCUUUGGCAUGUAGUGCAAAGUUGGACUGUUGAUUUACUUGAUUAUAAAUAUGAAUUGUGAUUUAAUUAUAAUCUGUGGUGGUUCAGGUGAAGACAUGUGAUGAGAGUUCUCUUUGUCUUGGGUAUAACCAAGAACUGUUGAUGAGUAUUACAGGAAUGAAAUAUUAACGAUGGACUUUUAAUCUAGAGGAGAUAGUAGACAUUAUGUUCUACUUGAUUCUUCUAAUGGAUUGUUGAUUUCGCUGCUAUUAUGGUUGAAAACUUUUAUCUUCUACCAUAUGUUCUAAAUAUCUGAAUUAUUUUGAUAAUUUAAUUAUCUUAAGUCAUGAUAUUCUUUACUGGGCUAUUUGUGCUCACCCUUUUACUUCACCACCCCUUUCAGGAAAUAAAAGUGUAGCUGGGACUAGCAGAGAUGACGUGGGUAUACAGUGGAGUUUUAAAUUAGUCGAAAUCUUAAUCAAAUUAUGAAACGGUGGGGCAUAAUAAUUGUACAUAGACUUUAAAAAUGUGCGUGACAUAUUUUAUACAUCAUUUAAUAUUUAUAUUUGGUGAAUUAAAUAGGGUGAUGCAAAAUAGAUUUUGGAAGCGUCAAAAUGCACUCCAUUAGAAUAAGAAGGACAAAAAUCUUCUCGUAUUUCUUUGGAGACUUGAAAUAUUUGCUGCUGUACUUUAUAUGGCAUUGUAAUAAUUUGAGUAUGAAUAUUGUCGUAUUUUAUACGUUACAAUAUUUGUAUUAAAACUCACAGUAUAUGUGUCGUCGUAUUUUGCACGACAGUUGUAUAAAUGAAGUUGUCAGUAGUGUAUUUUCUGGCGACCCAAGAUGGGAGGCGUAUAACUAUUUGGGGCGUCACAGCCGCCGUCCG